rnacentral:lncRNA from 1 species
GAUCGGGUCCUACAACACAUUAGGUCCUUGACUAGCUGUAGUUUGUCAUGCCAACGAAGAAACUGUGGUAGAUUUUACAAAAUUUUCUACAAUAGAGCCAAAUACCAAGGUAUUCCAUCGAGUUUUUUAGGCAUUUAGACCAUGCAUUCAGGGCUUUCAGUUUUGCCGCUCACUAACUAGUAUUGAUGCAACGCAUAUGUAAGAUCGAUAUAAGAGUAUACUCAUG